AACGAACGCUGGCGGCAUGCCUAAUACAUGCAAGUCGAACGGAAGACGGAUUUAUUCGUCUUUAGUGGCAAACGGGUGAGUAACGCGUGGGAAUCUGCCCUUUGGUGGGGGACAACUAGGGGAAACUCUAGCUAAUACCGCAUAUAAUUGGUAACAAUGAAAGAUUUUAUUGCCAAAGGAUGAGCCCGCGUCAGAUUAGGUAGUUGGUAGGGUAAUGGCCUACCAAGGCGACGAUCGGUAGCUGGUCUGAGAGGAUGAUCAGCCACACUGGAACUGAGACACGGUCCAGACUCCUACGGGAGGCAGCAGUGGGGAAUAUUGGACAAUGGGCGCAAGCCUGAUCCAGCAAUUCCGCGUGGGUGAGAAGGUCUUCGGAUUGUAAGACCUUCGUUGGGUACGAUGAUGACGGUACCC
rnacentral:rRNA from 1 species